GACGAACGCUGGCGGCGUGCCUAAUACAUGCAAGUCGAGCGCAGGAAACUGACGGAACUCUUCGGAGGGAAGGCAGUGGACUGAGCGGCGGACGGGUGAGUAACACGUAAGGAACCUGCCUCAAGGAUUGGGAUAACUCCGAGGAAUCGGAGCUAAUACCGGAUAGUUCAACGGACCGCAUGGUCCGCUGAUGAAAGGCGCUCCGGCGUCACCUUGAGAUGGCCUUGCGGUGCAUUAGCUAGUUGGUGGGGUAACGGCCCACCAAGGCGACGAUGCAUAGCCGACCUGAGAGGGUGAUCGGCCACACUGGGACUGAGACACGGCCCAGACUCCUACGGGAGGCAGCAGUAGGGAAUCUUCCACAAUGGACGAAAGUCUGAUGGAGCAACGCCGCGUGAGUGAUGAAGGUUUUCGGAUCGUAAAACUCUGUUGUAAGGGAAGAACACGUACGAGAGGAAAUGCUCGUACCUUGACGGUACCUUACGAGAAAGCCACGGCUAACUACGUGCCAGCCGCCGCCGUAA
rnacentral:rRNA from 1 species